CGACUCCUGUCGAUGGAGUUGCUAUAGCUGGUAACAUGCAGCAUGUGAAUAACAUGCCAAAAGGGCCAAUGAUGUAUGGUUCUGAUGGAAUAAGUGGUCUGGCAUCGUCAGCAAACCAACUGUUAUGUUUCUCAAUUUCCUCAGACGAAUGCUACUAACAAUCUAGCCUUUGUUUCAGUAAUAAGAAUCUUAGCGGCUUUAGUAUUUUCUUGCAUAGCCUAUGGAGCAGUGUUAUAUUCAACUUCCUUAUGACAAGGAUUAAUAGCUGCAGGAUGACAUGGAACCGUUCGGAGAUGUGGGAGCUCUGGAAGAUAAUGUAGAAUCGUUUUUGUCCCAAGAUGAUGGAGAUGGUGGAAGCAUAUUUAGCACCCUAAAGCGGAACCCUUCUGAGCAUGCAGAAACCUCAAAGGGGUUUAGUUUCAGUGAGGUUAGUUAUAUAAGAAGAAGUGCUAGUAAGGUCAUCUGCUGUAGUUUCUCGUCUGAUGGGAAUUUGUUGGCUAGCGCUGGGCAUGAUAAGAAGGUUUUUAUCUGGAACAUGGAAACACUACAUACUGAGAGCACUCCGAAAGAACAUGGUCAAAAUACAACUCAACUGGCUACGUCAUCGUUCGACAAAACUAUCAAAAUCUGGGAUGCUUCUGAUCCUGGUUACUUCCGACGAACCAUUUCUAGUCAUACUGCACCUGUAAUGUCCCUUGAUUUUCACCCCAAUAAAACCGAGAUCUUCUGCUCUUGUGAUGGCAACAAUGAUAUUCGCUUCUGGAACAUCAACGCUUCUAAUUACAUUCGUGCUUCAAAGACAAGCUCAUGUAUUCUCGUGUGGCUUCUCCAACAAUUGAACUAUUGUUUUCUGAGUUUUUGAAUUUUUCAAGCACAGGGAGCUAGCACGCAAGUACGGUUCCAGCCGAUAAGUGGAAAAUUUCUCGCUGCAGCUUCGGAUUAUACUAUUUCACUUGUGGAUGUUGAAAAAGACAUACGGGUCCACUUGUUAAAGGGACAUUCCUCAAAUGUGAAUUCUGUUUGUUGGAACACAAGCGGAGAGUUGCUAGCUUCUGUUAGUGAAAACUCUGUUAAACUAUGGUCUCCGAGCUCAGGAGAUUGUAUCCACGAGCUCAGUUCUAGUGGAAACAAGUUCCACUCUUGCGUUUUUCACCCUAGCUAUCCCAAUCUCUUGGUCAUUGGUGGCUACGAGUCACCGGAGCUGUGGAAUACAAAGGAGAACAAAUGUAUGACAAUACCAGCUCAUGAGUGUGUGAUCUCUGCCUUAGCUCAGUCACCUUCGACGGGAAUGAUGGCGUCUGCAAGUCAUGACAAAUCCGUGAAGAUUUGGAAGUAGAAAUUUUUACGUUCUUCAAGAAAAAAAUGUAAAAAAGAAAAGCAGAGUUGGGGACUAUUUUUUAGUCUAAUUCUUUGUUUAGUGUUCACAUCAAUAAGUUGUUUAAUGGGUUUGUUUGCAUCAAAAAAGCAAAGAGACUUAUGAUAAAGUUACAAUCUUUGUUGUAUGAUCCUACUCUCUUUGGGAGGGUUUGUAUUUGUUUUCUUGUUGUUGUUGUGAUCAAGUGUUUAAAAGUGAUUCA